rnacentral:rRNA from 1 species
GAUGAACGCUGGCGGCGUGCCUAAUACAUGCAAGUCGAGCGAACGGACGAGAAGCUUGCUUCUCUGAUGUUAGCGGCGGACGGGUGAGUAACACGUGGAUAACCUACCUAUAAGACUGGGAUAACUUCGGGAAACCGGAGCUAAUACCGGAUAAUAUUUUGAACCGCAUGGUUCAAAAGUAAAAGACGGUCUUGCUGUCACUUAUAGAUGGAUCCGCGCUGCAUUAGCUAGUUGGUAAGGUAACGGCUUACCAAGGCAACGAUGCAUAGCCGACCUGAGAGGGUGAUCGGCCGCACGAGAACGGAGACACGGUCCAGACUCCUACGGGAGGCAGCAGUAGGGAAUCUGACGCAAUGGGCGAAAGCCUGACGGAGCAACGCCGCGUGAGUGAUGAAGGUCUUCGGAUCGUAAAACUCUGUUAUUAGGGAAGAACAGAUGUGUAAGUAACUGUGCACAUCUUGACGGUACCUAAUCAGAAAGCCACGGCUAACUACGUG